CUUUUACAAUGAAGAGUUUGAUCCUGGCUCAGGAUGAACGCUAGCUACAGGCUUAACACAUGCAAGUCGAGGGGCAUCAUGCUUAUAGCAAUAUAAGUGAUGGCGACCGGCGCACGGGUGAGUAACACGUAUCCAACCUGCCGAUAACUCGGGGAUA
rnacentral:rRNA from 1 species